UACGAAGGAUUCGAGCGUUAUCCGGAUUUAUUGGGUUUAAAGGGUGCGUAGGUGGACUAAUAAGUCAGUGGUGAAAGCCCGCAGCUUAACUGCGGAACUGCCAUUGAUAUUGUUAGUCUUGAGUACAGUUGAGGUGGGCGGAAUGUGUCAUGUAGCGGUGAAAUGCUUAGAUAUGACACAGAACACCGAUUGCGAAGGCAGCUCACUAAGCUGUAACUGACACUGAGGCACGAAAGUGUGGGUAGCAAACAGG
rnacentral:rRNA from 1 species